GAUGAAGAACGUAGCGAAAUGCGAUAAGUAAUGUGAAUUGCAGAAUUCAGUGAAUCAUCGAAUCUUUGAACGCAUCUUGCGCUCCUUGGUAUUCCGAGGAGCAUGCCUGUCCGAGCGUCAUUGCUGCCUCAAGCCCGGCUUGUGUGUUGGGUCUCGUCCCCCUUCCCGGGGGGACGGGCCCGAAAGGCAGCGGCGGCACCGCGUCCGGUCCUCGAGCGUAUGGGGCUUUGUCACCCGCUCUGUAGGCCCGGCCGGCGCUUGCCGAUCAACCAAAACUUUUUUCCAGGUUGACCUCGGAUCAGGUAGGGAUACCCGCUGAACUUAAGCAUAUCAAUAAGCGGAGGA
rnacentral:misc_RNA from 1 species